AUUGAACGCUGGCGGCAGGCCUAACACAUGCAAGUCGAACGAGUGGCGGACGGGUGAGUAAUGUCUGGGAAACUGCCUGAUGGAGGGGGAUAACUACUGGAAACGGUAGCUAAUACCGCAUACCAUCGGAUGUGCCCAGAUGGGAUUAGCUAGUAGGUGGGGUAAUGGCUCACCUAGGCGACGAUCCCUAGCUGGUCUGAGCGGAUGACCAGCCACACGGGAACUGGGACACGCUCCAGCCUCCUCAGGGACGCAGCAGUGGGGAAUAUUGGACAAUGGGCGCAAGCCUGAUGCAGCCAGGCCGCGUGUAUGAAGAAGGCCUUCGGGUUGUAAAGUACUUUCAGCGGGGAGGCGUUACCCGCAGAAGAAGCACCGGCUAACUCCGUGCCAGCAGCCGCGGUAAUAC
rnacentral:rRNA from 1 species